rnacentral:rRNA from 1 species
AAUCAUGGCUCAGGAUGGACGCUAGCGACAGGCUUAACACAUGCAAGUCGAGGGGCAGCACAGGGUAGCAAUACUUGGGUGGCGACCGGCGCACGGGUGAGUAACGCGUAUGCAACUUACCUAUCAGAGGGGGAUAGCCCGGCGAAAGUCGGAUUAAUACCCCAUGAAACAGGGGUCCCGCAUGGGAAUAUUUGUUAAAGAUUCAUCGCUGAUAGAUAGGCAUGCGUUCCAUUAGGCAGG